GAGGUUGGACUGGAAGGUGGAGUUUGGGGUGAAGGUGGUGGCGUUUAGGCAGAUGUGAGCCAGGUAAUGCAGGGUUGGUAGCUUGACUUUCAGCCUCAAGUGUUAACCAGAAUAGUAAACAUAGGAGAGAAUUAUGAGAGAUUUUUUUAAUGUGACUGGUAAAUGGGAUGAUACGUCACGUGUUACUAUAUAAAUGGUAUGAUAUAUGUGUUAAAAAUUUCUCACCCUUCUUUUCCCUCACAUUGCCCAUCAACUUUUCUUCAAACCAAUAGAAGGAAGCAGGCCAUGCGCUACCGGAGAAUCGUGAGGCUGGUGUAAUCGUGACAGACAAAUAAAUUCCCCGCUACCAAAUCUAUGGCUCGAUGUCUCAGGUUAUGGCCUCGGUCUACCAUCAAUGACCAGGACAACGACAAUCUCGAAUUCCAAUUAGACGUCACCGCCUCAUAGGCCUUCUUCUUUGUCUACAAUGGUUUACUCUGCCAUCCUCAUUAAUCUCCAUCGUCCACCACGGAGGAUGACGAUUCGCACUUGUGUAAAAGAGAGGGAAUAGAGAUGUGGGUGGCCAGAGAAGGGAAGAAUUGGUGGGGAUCGCCGGAGAAGAUGAGCAAAUUUGUUGGAGGGAGACAAAGGGGUCCUUUUGGCCACAAGAUUAAUUAUAGAAAAGAGUGUUUGAAUGCUUGAUUAUAAAAUUUAAUCAUGAACACUUGCCUUGUUUUUAUUGGGCCACAUUGAUUAGUGAGUAAAAUGGAUAUAGACUAGUUAAUAUCAAGUUUUAUAUGUUGAUAAUUAAAUUAUGACUUAAGUUAAGCAUUGAUAGUGUACUCUUUUUUAUUAGUGACACAUUAUUUAGUUUGUAAAUUUUAUUUAUAAAUUUAGUUUCUCUGGCAUUAUCCACUAGAUUUUAGUCUCAAUGCCAUUAUCGUUUAAUAAGUGUUUGCAACUUGUUCAAAAUGUGCACUAUGGUAAUAUCUCAUUUACCACCAUGUGAAAAUGUUAAAAAGUUAAAAUACACGAUAAUGUCCUACCCCUUAGUGUAGGUAAUAUCGUUUGUUAAAAAGAAAAUACAAGACAAUGCAUUGAUUUGAAAAUUUGCUACAAUAACAUCCUUUGUAGUUAUUGUGUUACGUUUGGCCAAUUGAGAGAUGUAACCCCACUUAAUGGGACAUGUUAGAAUUUCCUUGUCCCACAUCGGCCAAAAGGCUUGAGAACAAGCCAUUUAUAUAAAAUUACCCCACUCUAACUAAUACCGAGACCUUUUGUAUUAAAACCCCACAUCUGACAGAUUGAGCAGGUGGCCAAGUGGGGACAGUAUCGGUGUUGUUGGAGUGAGCCCAUGGCCCGUUUACCUGAAAUUUAAGAUGGUAUCAGAACCAGGGGACGAGUCCGUACAUCCACGUGAACGGGUGGGUCUCCUUUGGCCCCGUGCAAAUGGGUGAGCCUCGACUUGGCUCCACGUAGGCCAAGAGAUGUCACUUGCAUUGGCCUAGCGCGAACGGGUGAGCCCCGACUUGGCUCCACGUGGUUGCCGAUGUGUGGAACUCCACGUGUGACCUAUAAAAUAGGGUCUCACGUGCGAGGGAGUGUUAGAAUUCCUUUGUCCCACAUCGGCCAGAAGGCUUGAGAACAAGCCAUUUAUAUAGAAUUACCCCACUCUAACUAAUACCGAGGCAUUUUGUAUUAAAACCUCACACCUAACGGAUUGAGCAGGUGGCCAAGUGGGGACAAUAUCGGUGUUGUUGGAGUGGGCCCAUGGCCCGUCUACCUGAAAUUUAAAAGGAGCGCUAUAGAUGAGUUAUUUCAAGAUGUUCGUAUUAUAUACGUGUUUGCAGUGGCGGAGUUAGAAUUUUCAAAUAAUGGAGUCUUAAUUUCAACAAAAAAAAACUUCAAUGGACCAUUUCGUCGAGCACCUAUUGGGUACUUGCCAAUUCCUGCCGACAUUUGCCAAAAGCUUACUCGAACGUAUGUCGACAUACGUUGAUUGUUUACAUUUCCGCUUCAUUGUUCUCAUCAAAUUUUGUUUUUUUUCUUCAGAUUUUCUUUUCUAAAAACAAGAUCUAUUAAAGGAUGCAGGAAGAUGAACAGUUUGGAUUGUUGAUAUUAUAUUCAGAGUUUUACGGUUAGUGAAAAUAUUGCUUGAUGUUUAUAAAGUUUCUACAAACUAUAUGACAUCGACUCAUAUUUCAGUUAACCGUAAAUAUCGAAACGUGAAAUCAGAGAUCUGAACCAGGGCUUAGGCCUGGUUUGGUACUGAGAUGAUUCUGAAAAAAGCUGGUAUCAAAAUAAGCUGGGACAUUUUUGUGUUUGGUAAACAUUCAACUUCAGUUUUUUUUCACAGUUUUGGGUGAAAAAAACCUAAAAACAAGAAGCUGCAAAACCCAGCUUUGAAAAACCGGCUUUUUUCAAAUCUAUUUUACAUAAAAGUUUACCAAACACUAUAAUACUGCCUUUUUUUUUCAAAAGCAUUUUUUUUCAAAAGCAUUUUUACAAAAAAGUUUACCAAACACUCUACAACUUUAUUUCACAACCGUUUAUUCUCACAACACAGCAGAAACAACUUUUUUUCAAAGCACAACAAUACCAAACCAGCCCUUAGAAUAAUGCUUAUAAGCAGAAGCGUCAGUCACGGUUAUACCAUUUACACUCAAAUUUGAACCCCCCCGGUAUGAGAUUCGAAUAUCGCACAAACAAAAUUUCAACGAAUUGAUAUUUGCUUGAAGUUUAAAGUUGUCAACUUCAAAAAUUAAAUUUGAAUUGAAAAAUUGGUCACUUUACCUUUAGUCGGAGGAGGAAGAUGAGGAGGCGGCCCUGGUGCAGGCUCAGGUGCUGAUGUGGCAUUCUGGGCGAAGAAGGGGUAGACUUCGGGCUAGUUUGGUAUUGCUAUGCUUUGAAAAAAAAGCUGCUGUGAGAAUAAGCGGCUGUGCUGUGAGAAUAAGUGGCUGUGAAAUAAAUCAGCAAAGUGUUUGGUAAACUUUUUUGUAAAAAUGCUUUUGGAAAAAAAAGCAGUUUGAUAGUGGGUAUUUUCAUUAAAGGAGCACUGUAGCUCCGUGUGCUUUUAAAAAAAAAAAAACCAGUUUUCCAAAGCUGCAAAUAUCAGCUUCAGCUUUUUCCUUUGAUUUCAGCUUAUUCUCAUAGCAGCUUCCAAAAUAAGCCAUUUUUUUUCAGUUUACCAAACACCUAAAACCCUCACAGCUUUUUUUCAUGGUGCUUUUUUUUUAAGCACCUCACUCCCAAACUAAGGCCUCGUACCCAACAUUACAACUCAGAGACAAAACUCGUGCUCCGAGUGUCCCAUUACAGCAGCUCAGAAAUUGGCCUAUGGACCCCCGAAGACAGCGAUUGCAAUCUGUCGCCGACAAGUCCUGCGUGCAUUGCGCGAGGCUGUACACCGACAUCAACGUACUAACAUUUGCCUAAUUCAUCCCGAACUUAUCGGCGUCUCCGACAGCCUCACUGGCUGUCUGGUUCACACUCGUCGCCAUGACUUGGUUGAACCGAGUCGGGUCGGUGGCGUUCUGCGUGUUCCACAAGUACACGCGGGGCGACUCGGUGACGGUGGAGAAGAAUGACUCGUUGGAGUAGCAUAGCAAGCAGUCGUCAUACCAGAUCACCACCUGUUUUUCUACGGGGCAGCGUUGUGGGGCCUCGGUGGUUGCGGUGGCUACACAGGUUUUGCAAGCGGCAGAGGAAGAUGCCGUAGACGGCGUUGUUUGUGGUUUGGACGGUGACGUUGUAGAAGCCGGUGGAGCGGUUGGCGUUGGAUGAGAGGUUGGAAAGGAGGCGGUUGAGGUUGGACUGGAUGGUGGAGUUUGGGGUGAAGGUGGUGGUGUUUGGGCAGAUGUGGGAAAGGUAUACUGCUUCCGUAUUGGUCAGAAAGCUGGGCAGAGUAAAAAUGGAGAAAAUCAAAAGAAGGGUAGUCAUGCUUUUCAUUUUUUGGUGAUUCAUCGUAACAUCAUAGGUUUUUGUACUUAGUAUUAACAAGAGCAAUGCAGGGUGGCAGCAAG
rnacentral:lncRNA from 1 species